AAAAACCGCAAGUCCACGUGGACCCAAACUAACGGUUUCAAAUCAACGUUUUCGGUUCGAUUUGCGAUUUCACGAUUUUUUUGUGCAGUCCCAUGGAAAAAUAAGUUUGAUUGCAGCAAAAUAAACUGAACUCUUCAACCUGAACUAAACUUCUCCACCUCACGAAAAAUUACUCUUCCUUUUCCUCUUCCACAGUAUCCACAAAUAAUACCCGAACCCAAAGAUCGGGUUUCCAAAAUUCCCACAAGGAAUCCAUAAUAUACCAAACAAGGUCGAAGUAUACCUUGUAGUAGAAUCAACUCCAAAAGCAUGCACAACCAAAUCAGCAUCUCGUACCUAUCUCCAAUAGUCUAUCACUAGUAGUUGAACACGUUGAACUGCGAACAAUGGUGACAAGAUGGAAUUACCCAUAUCCUCCAAACUCGAUUUAGUAGUAUUCUUCAAUAUGGGCCCAGAGUCAAAUCCCAAAGGUAUAAUGCCAAAUCGAAUCUCCACCACGGUACUAAACCUGUGCUGACUUUUCUUCAUCGAUUCUGUCUGACCUUGCAAGAUGUAUAAUGGGACCUCUUCCGCCCCUCUAAUUCAACAUGGACACCCUUCUGAACUCUCAAGACUCCACUUUUUCCAGAAAAUUUAUAACCCUUCGAAUCAAGGGUACUCAUCGAGAUGAGAUUUUUCUUCAAAUCUGAAACAUGUCAAACCUGGCCAAGUGUUCUAAUUGUUCCAUCCAUCAACUUCGAUCUGAUCGUGCCAAUACCAACUACCCGACAAGGUUCAUUGUUUUUUAUGACAACGACACAUUGCAUCACCAUUUCAUAUGCUUCAAACAAAUCACUAUUUGGACACAUAUGAAAUGCAUAUGCAGUAUCCAAAAUUCACUCAUCGUCAAAUUUGGAUUCCACGUCAGAAAUCGUUGAGAUAUCUCCAUCACUCAAAUAGUCCUAAACUAUGUUGGUCUCGUAAAAAAUGUUUGAUUGCUUUCCCUAAUUUGCAGUCGAAGUACCUUCAUUCUACAAUUUUUUAUAAUAUCUCUUAAUGUGUCUUUUCUUGCAAUAAUAGCAAACCUGAUUACUGAAACUCAACCUUGACUUACCCCUUCAUCAAUCACCAUAAACCACAAGACCUCAUUCAACUCUGGACUCAGAUCUAUUUAGAUACUUUAUCUUUUCCUUUGAGAAAAGGACAUCAAAUACGUCUUCAAUGGUGAGAGUAUUACGACUAUACAAAAUCAUGUCCCUAAAUAAAGUAUAUGAAGCGGGCAACGAAUACAAUGGGAUUAAGGCCAAAUCUUCUUCAUCAUACUUUACCUCUUAUGUCUCUAAAUCAGCGAAAAUCUCCUUGAAAAAAACUAGAUGAUUUUCCAAAUAUCCGCUUUCUAUCAUGUGAUGAGAAUACAAUCUCUACUUCAGAUGCAAGUUGCUCUUCAGACUUUUGAUCAUGCACAAUUACUCUAGCUUCACUGCCAUAACGAAAAUCUUGUAUUGCGAUCCAAAAGUGAUAUUUCAUAAUUCAUGGUUUGGCCAUUGAUAACAAAAAACCACAAUCAAUUGCUCUGAUACCACCUGUUGGGAUCCUUGACAAGAAUUAUAUAUGUUCUGAUACCACUUGUUGGGAACAGAGAGACAAGUAUGACACGAUAUUAAGUAUUGAUUGUAUAAGAAAUAACAAGAUUAAAGAAAGAAGAGAGAUUAGCAAAGGAACCUGAUAGUUUUAUUAAUUGACAAUCAUUGGAGAGAAAAAUACAAUUUCAGCAACACAUAAUCUGGAAGAAGAGUCAAUUAUAUAUAGGGACAAUUCAAGCCCUAGAAGAAGAGUUGUGGAUGUGAUAGAAUGUUCAGAAUUUCCUUAUUUUGAUCUCUUUAAAUCCAACACAAAUUUCAACUUCCAGUAGGACUUCCAAAUGGAACUUCAACUAUAAUUUCCCAAUAGUCUUCGAAUAGGAUUCCAAAAGCAUUCCAAAUAGAUUUUUUUCUUAAUCUAUACUUUAAUUAGAAUUCUCAAUUAUCUUCAUCAAAGAAUUCGGGUCACACUCAAAUUAUAACUAUAAAUAAAGUGAAGAUUGAACGGUUUAGUUUAAGGAGUGCCUGCGAAUGCAUUUCUUGGGAGGAUUUAAUGUUAUUUGUGUCAUUGAAAUUUCUAUUAUGGAAUAAUGGUUGACUCGCUUAAUUAAAUAUAAGACACGGGCUUGUCUAAUAAGACCAGGAGUCUGCUACAUGGUUCUCUGAUGGAAGCAACGAAGAGGAAGGGCUCCAAAAGUAGGCCGAGGUCUCUAAAUCCGUCCUUUGGAAGAGAUGAACAACUAUUCAUCUGGUCUUGGAAGAUGCAAAGAUAGAAAUGUGUCUGAAGACACAUUUAAAGCUGUUGCUGAAACUCUAAGAACCUCUACUUUCCUUAAGGUUUAUGAGGAUGGUAAGAAAAUUAGUAGAGUUACCGAGCUAGCGAAGCCGGAUGAGGUUAUAAAGCAACUGGAGGUCAAAACAAUUGUUACCUCACCACUGGAGUAUUGUGUGAAAGUUGAGCUGCUAUGGCUAUGUAAAUUUUUUGUCAACUACUAUGCUGUUCAAAGGAUUUGUUUUGGGUAAACAAGACUGGAGUGUUACUAGAUCAGUUUUGUACUUCAAGCGAGACUCCAUCAUCAGUGUGGACUUCACAAGUACAAAAUGAAGGAAUUAUUUCAAGAGUCAAAAUUAUGUUCCUAUCGACUUUGAAAGGUUUGGCAUUUAUGGCAAUUGGGUGUUAGAGGAAGAGCCACCAACUUUGGUAGAUGAUGAGUUGGAGGUAUUUCGUCGUGAAUUGAGUGCAUGUACUAUACAAAGUGACAAAAAUGACGGUAAUUGUUCGAUUAAUGCUAAUGUUUCUUCUUCAUAUUAAAGUAUAUAUGAUGUAACAAUGAAUUUUAAAACUUUUUUUCUAGAUGAAUUAUAUUUUGAUGAUCUUGAUCUUGAUUGUUGUGAAAGUUUUGGCAACGGCAAUGAAAAUACAAGUGAUACAAACAAUGGAAAUGAGGAUUUUAGCAUGAUCGAGACUCCGUCAUUUAUACAAGACGAAAGAAUUGAAGAAUUUAUGUCCGAGACCCUAGCAUGGAUGCGCUCCAACUCUUCUUAAUUAAGAAAAUAUUGAUUUAUCUCAAAUAAUUUAAUUCGUUGACAUGUUCUUUAUCCACAAAUGACUUUUAAAUGAUGGCUUUAAUUUUGUUAGAUAAAGUUGUUUUUUUUUUAAUUUUUAUCAUUGAAUGUUAUUUUAAUCGUUUCAAAUGCAUAUUUAAUUAGACAUGAUUUAGAAUUUGUGUUAUUUGGGAUACAUAUUGAUCUUUAGUUAACAAAAUGAUAUGAGGUUAAUUUAGUUAUCACUACUAUAUAAAAAGGACAAUGUUAGUCAUUGUAGAAAGAACAAUAGAUUCUUCCAUUUUCACACACUGUAGCAA